GGGGGGGGGGGGGGGGGGGGGGAGGGGGGGGGGGCGGGGGGGGGGAGGGGGGGCUGGCUCCUCGGACGUUGGCGGCGGGCGGGGGAGGAACACGGGGAUAACCUGCCUGUAAGACUGGGAAAACUUCGGGCACCCGGAGCUAAUACCGGAUACUGUAUUUGACCGCAUUGGUCAAUAGUGACAGACGGUUUUGCUGUCGCUUCUAUAAGGAUCAGGGCCGCAUUAGUGAGUUGGUAAGGUAACUGCUUAACAAGGCCACGAUGCGUAGCCUACCUGAGAGGGUGAUCGGCCACACGGGAACUGAGACACGGUCCAGACUCCUACGGGAGGCAGCAGUAGGGAAUCUUCCGCAAUGGGCGAAAGCUUGACGGAGCAACGCCGCGUGAGUGAUGAAGGUCUUCGGAUCGUAAAACUCUGUUAUUAGGGAAGAACAAAUGUGUAAGUAACUAUGCACGUCUUGACGGUACCUAAUCAGAAAGCCACGGCUAACUACGUG
rnacentral:rRNA from 1 species